rnacentral:lncRNA from 10 species
UGUCCUCUUCCUUCAGCGGACCUCGUCAGACACGAUGAGAAGCCCUCUGACAUUGAUGAGAACUGGGAGAUUGUGGAUAGACUGUGCCUGACAGUGGAGGAGAAGAUAAUCACCAGGACAGAGGGUAACACUGAUGACUUGCUCAUUGGUGGAAAUGCCUCCUCUGAAGGCCCCAAGGGCAAAGGUAUCCAAAGCACCCAAAGUCAUCUAUUGGUGUUGAUAUUGUCAUGAACCAUCACUUGCAGGAAACCAGCUUCACAAAGGAUGCCUAAGAAGUACAUUAAAGACGACACGAAAUCAAUGAAAGGCGAACUUGAAGAAGAGAGAUCAGAAAGAGUAAAACCUUUUAUGGUAGGACUGCAGAAUACAUCAAGCACAUCCUUGCUAAUUUCAAAAACUACCAGUUCUUUUUUGAUGAAAAUAUGAAUCCUGAUGGCAUGGUUGCUCUACUGAACUACCGUGAGGAUGGUGUGACCCCGUAUAUGAUUUUCUUUAACAAUGGUUUGGAAAUG